rnacentral:sRNA from 1 species
AAGUAAAGAUAAGACCCUGAAGAGCAGGUGGAUCUAGGGGGGCUGAUCUGAAGGGGAGACCCCUCCAAAUGACCUCCCUCUGUCCCUCCCUCUGAAAAAUAACGUUCCACAGAACAAGAAAGUCAGGAGAGAUAUGAAGAGGUCACCUGAUUAUGAGCCUUAAGAUGUGCAGACAUUUCCGUGGGGCCCAAAGAAGCCCCUUCGCAGCUCUGUCGCAAGGUCGUGUCCCGGAAGUGAAGGGGCCAUGUUGAUGGGUGACCCGGGGAGAGGUACCUGGCCAGAGGCGAGUCCUGCGGAGUGGUAGCGCGCGCGGCCUGCGGUGUGACACCCAGCCCCUGCCAGUCCCCCAUGGCCCCGUGGAGCCGAGAGGCGGUGCUGAGUCUCUAUCGGGCUCUGUUGCGCCAGGGCCGACAGCUUCGCUACACUGAUCGAGACUUCUACUUUGCCUCCAUCCGCCGUGAAUUCCGAAAAAAUCAGAAGCUAGAGGACCCUGUGGCCCGGGAGAGGCAGCUGGAGAAGGGCCUGGUCUUUCUCAACGGCAAAUUGGGGAGGAUCAUUUAGGAUCCUCCAAG